rfam:Phytophthora infestans T30-4 supercont1.28 genomic scaffold, whole genome shotgun sequence.
GGCCUCGUGGUCUAGUGGUAUGAUUCUCGCUUCGGGUGCGAGAGGUCCCGGGUUAUAUUCCCGGUGAGGCCC